CACCACCUGAGCUACGCUCAGAACCCUAAAAGAUUUCUUUCUCCUACAGCCACCUACCGUUCAAAGAAAGGCAGCUUUACCUCUUUAAAAGAGGAAGUUCUGAGGCAUUCUGCUCUUCCUGGGGUGCAGGGAGGAAUUUCCCCUGGGCACUGCUCUGUCCUUAAAUAACAGAACUGCCUGUGCAAACACACUGCAUCCUUGCAGGGUGCUGAGCUCCUGUUAUCAGGCUCUGGACCUUUUUUAGGAUCAAAGCUUCCUGCCAGUCAAGGAUUGUCACCAAAUCCUAAGGAUCAGGGGCUGAAUACAAGGAGAGUUCAAAGGUGCACCUUCAAAUGGAAAAGGCAGAGAAACAGCCACUGACUCUCCGGAAGCUCAGGACAUUCCUGCAAAGCUGUGUCUUUGAGUUAAGAUCAAAAGAAGAAAUAAA